AUGGAGAGGGCGGCUCGGGAUGGAGGUAGACGAUAUGAGCCGUCUUGCAGAAGAUUCCGUGCUAACGGUGUUAGAGAGUACAUCUAUGGUGCCCGGCCGUUGCAGGCUGCAGCUACCAACCUUCCCCAACACGGCGUCUUCUCCACACGCCCUGCUAAAUCCAAUCCAAAGCAGAAUAGAUCCGCCGCGCGCGGCAACCAAUCUCCCAUCUCUUGGAUCGCUCGUGGUGGAGCGAAUGCAGGGCAUCGUUUCUACAGGUGCAGCGAGAGAGAUGGUGUACUUUGUGGAUUCAUGAGAUCGAAAGAGGAGUACAAGGUGAAUAGCGUACGAGGUGAUUUGGGAAUAGAGCUGCUGCCGGAUUUCAUUAUCGAGGUGGUGCUGUUCUUAUCUGUCUGA
rnacentral:rRNA from 1 species